rnacentral:rRNA from 1 species
AUGGCUCAGGAUCGUCUCAUGGCAACACAGGAGAUUGGCGAGUCGAGUGGACGUCCAGAUGGGUCAAGACCAGCUUGGAAGUUGAUGUGGAGCUGCGGCGCCCCAUGUAAAGGGCCAGAGGUGGACAUCCUCAAGGGGAAGCAACCAGCUCUUUUAUCCAACAAUGGUGCUCAACAUAAGCUGGAGCCUAGCGUACAACCUAGUUGGAUUCCUCCCCCAUGUGGUGUUGCAAAGCUCAAUUUUGACGGUUCGUUUGUACAGGCAGCCAGUGCCGGUAUGAUCCUACGUGAUCACACAGAUGCGGUUAUCUACGCGGCAUGCAGAUGGAUCCGGAACUGCCCGGGCGCACUGGAGGCAGAGCUAUCGGCGUGUGAGGAGGGCAUGAAGCUGGCGUUGCACUGGACUCCCUUGCCUAUCCAGGUCGAGACAGACUGUGCGGAGAUCUUGAAGCUCCUUGAAUUAGGUUCAAAGGGAAGAUCAAGGAAUAUGUUUCAGGUGGCGGCCGUCUCAGAGAUGUUGCAAGAAAGAUCAAUGCAAGUCACAAAAAUAGGUAGAUCACAGAAUAAGGCUGCACAUGCCAUGGCAGCAAUGGGUCGUGGUCAGCAGCAUACGGCUUGUUGUGAAGGGCUUGCUCGCUGUCGGAUGGCCAACACGAAUCCCAAAGUGAUGGAGCGGCAUCAGAUAGCAUGA